rnacentral:tRNA from 1 species
GAUUAAAUGGCUGAAGUUUAGGCAAUAAAUUGUAAAUUUAUGUAUAAGAAAUAUUCUUUUUAAUCAA